rnacentral:rRNA from 1 species
UACGAAGGGGGCUAGCGUUGCUCGGAAUCACUGGGCGUAAAGCGCACGUAGGCGGAUUGCUAAGUCAGGGGUGAAAUCCUGGAGCUCAACUCCAGAACUGCCUUUGAUACUGGCGAUCUUGAGUCCGGGAGAGGUGAGUGGAACUGCGAGUGUAGAGGUGAAAUUCGUAGAUAUUCGCAAGAACACCAGUGGCGAAGGCGGCUCACUGGCCCGGUACUGACGCUGAGGCGCGAAAGCGUGGGAUCAAACAGG